rnacentral:tRNA from 1 species
ACUUGAGUAGUUUAAAUAAAAUAUCGAUUUGUGGUGUCGAUGAUAUAAAUUAUUAUCUUAGGUC